GUUUAAUAGAGUUUUCAUCUAGUUAUUUCUCCAAGCUUCUUCCGAGAUACUAGUUAUGAUGGAUCUAACUAGUUCAGCUGGUGAUUAGAUGAUUUUCUAGUGUCUCUAUACAUUUAUGAUGUUUAAAGUGUGAAAUCAGCAGCUCAUUCCUCUCCGCUAAUUACAGAAAAGGGAAAAAAAUAUUUCUAUGUUUGGAAACAGCAGUGUCUUUCUGUUUUCAAUUUCUUUGGAACGAAAAGGAGAUAUUUUAUUAAGUCUGUUUCUACAGCUGGAUUAUGCAAUCUAUUUUUAGGACUAUUUUUGAGAAAGCAAAUCUGUUUAAAUUGCUGUUAUUUUCUCUGAUUUAUGGUCUGGAGUGAAACCGAGUGACGCCAUCUUUUAUCAUGCAUUUAUCAUACCUUGGAGACUUUUAAUUUGUAUUUAUAGAAAUUAUUUAAAAUGGAGUAUAAGCAUAAAUCUAUAU